AGUCACAUAUGAGAGCAAUAACAAACAGUGCUCAAACACAGUUUUAGAGCUGUGCUCAACGAAUGUAGACUAGAUCUAAAGUUACCGUUUCACAUGCACUUCUCUUUUUAAGUUUACGACUUUAGCGUAACAAAAUGUAUAAAGUAUUUUGUAGUCAAAUGUACCCUGCCGAAAUGUUUUGUUUUCUUCUAUUUUUUAUUGUAUCUUGAAUCAUCGUAUUUUCGCGUUCUUUCCGCCGCUAAAACAAAACAAAGUGAAACAACAAAAACAACCACCACCCGCCUCCUGCGUCCGCCCGUGACCUUUGAAAAAGAGCUACGCGUGCCGACGCGUCGUCGUCGCUGUCGACACUAUUUCGUCACUGAGAUCGGAGCAGUUGUCAGGCGGCAGACAGGCGAAGCGAGAGAGUGCAAAGCUUUUUUCGCGCGGUGUUCGCCUUGACGUACGUUGAGAAAUUGUGUAGCUGCUGUUGCUUGUGCUUCUCCGUUCCGUACGGUACCCACACACCCACAAUAUCGGCAGCCGACUUUCUAAUCAAACAAACGCAUGCGAAACAAGAUGUACAGUGCACCGACAAUGAUGACGCACAAAUUAUACAGUAAACUGAGAUGGACAAGAGAAAAUUGUCGCUCAAUGCUAAUGGCUGAUCACACAAAUUUAGCUAUUCGACUUGCCCACUAAUCACAAUUUGUUUGUUAUUUACUUAACAACGUUGACAUUUGCAUAAAUAC